UGGGGAAUAUUGGACAAUGGGCGCAAGCCUGAUCCAGCCAUGCCGCGUGAGUGAUGAAGGCCCUAGGGUUGUAAAGCUCUUUCACCGGUGAAGAUAAUGACGGUAACCGGAGAAGAAGCCCCGGCUAACUUCGUGCCAGCAGCCGCGGUAAUACGAAGGGGGCUAGCGUUGUUCGGAUUUACUGGGCGUAAAGCGCACGUAGGCGGACUUUAAAGUCAGGGGUGAAAUCCCGGGGCUCAACCCCGGAACUGCCUUUGAUACUGGAAGUCUUGAGUAUGGUAGAGGUGAGUGGAAUUCCGAGUGUAGAGGUGAAAUUCGUAGAUAUUCGGAGGAACACCAGUGGCGAAGGCGGCUCACUGGACCAUUACUGACGCUGAGGUGCGAAAGCGUGGGGAGCAAACGGG
rnacentral:rRNA from 1 species